GUGUUUUUGAUGUCAAGUUUAUGGAUACACUGAACUAUCGUUUUAAAAACAUGCAUUUAUAAUCUAUCACCUCUUUUACAAUGCGUCUCUUCAGCAGAGAGCAGUAUCUCUCGAGCGUGCAGGACACUUUCUUUUGAGGAAUGUAACAAACAUGAAACCUCAUCCCAUAGCGUCCCACACAAAGCUGAGGCAUCGCAUGAACCAUGUUCCUCUGCUCCUGCUUCAGUGUGCAGCCCACCACCUUUGCGACAGACAGCGCAAAAUAAGAGAGUCUUUUGUGGAUAGAAUUACCAUAUUUAAUAUCGGUGGC